rnacentral:rRNA from 1 species
AUGCAAGUCGAACGGUAACAUUGGUGCUUGCACCAGAUGACGAGUGGCGCACGGGUGCGUAACGCGUAUGCAACCUACCUUUUACUAGAGUAUAGCCCAGAGAAAUUUGGAUUAAUCCUCUAUAACAUCUUUUAAUUUCAUGAUUUUAAGAUUAAAGUUUUAACGGUAAAAGAUGGGCAUGCGUCCUAUUAGUUUGUAGGUGAGGUAACGGCUCACCUAGACUACGAUAGGUAGGGGCCCUGAGAGGGGGAUCCCCCACACUGGUACUGAGACACGGACCAGACUCCUACGGGAGGCAGCAGUAAGGAAUAUUGGACAAUGGACGAAAGUCUGAUCCAGCCAUGCCGCGUGCAGGAUGACAGCCCUACGGGUUGUAAACUGCUUUUAUACAGGAAGAAACACUCCGACGUGUCGGAGCUUGACGGUACUGUAAGAAUAAGGAUCGGCUAACUCCGUGCCAGCAGCCGCGGUAAUACGGAGGAUCCAAGCGUUAUCCGGAAUCAUUGGGUUUAAAGGGUCCGCAGGCUGUUUUUUAAGUCAGAGGUGAAAUCCUACAGCUCAACUGUAGAACUGCCUUUGAUACUGGAAAACUUGAGUUAUUGUGAAGUGGUUAGAAUGUGUGGUGUAGCGGUGAAAUGCAUAGAUAUCACACAGAAUACCGAUUGCGAAGGCAGAUCACUAACAAUAUACUGACGCUCAUGGACGAAAGCGUGGGGAGCGAACAGGAUUAGAUACCCUGGUAGUCCACGCCGUAAACGAUGGAUACUAGCUGUUCGUCUAACAUUGGUUAGAUGAGUGGCUAAGCGAAAGUGAUAAGUAUCCCACCUGGGGAGUACGGUCGCAAGACUGAAACUCAAAGGAAUUGACGGGGCCCGCACAAGCGGUGGAGCAUGUGUUUAAUUCGAUGAUAC